AACGAACGCUGGCGGCAGGCCUAACACAUGCAAGUCGAACGCUCCGCAAGGGGAGUGGCGCACGGGUGAGUAACACGUGGGAACCUACCUUCUGGUACGGAACAACCAAGGGAAACUCUGGCUGAUACCGUAUACGACCUCCGGGUGAAAGAUUGAUCGCCGGAAGAGGGGCCCGCGUCCGAUUAGGUAGUUGGUGAGGUAACGGCUCACCAAGCCUGCGAUCGGUAGCUGGUCUGAGAGGANGACCAGCCACACUGGGACUGAGACACGGCCCAGACUCCUACGGGAGGCAGCAGUGGGGAAUAUUGGACAAUGGGCGCAAGCCUGAUCCAGCCAUGCCGCGUGAGUGAUGAAGGCCUU
rnacentral:rRNA from 1 species